rnacentral:rRNA from 1 species
AUUGAACGCUGGCGGCAGGCCUAACACAUGCAAGUCGAACGAGCGGCGGACGGGUGAGUAAUACGUGGGUAACUGCCCGAUGGAGGGGGAUAACUACUGGAAACGAUAUGUAAAACCCCCAACCAUCGGUUGUUCCCAGAUGGGAUUAGCUAGUAGGUGGGGUAAAGGCUCACCUAGGCGACGAUCCCUAGCUGGUCUGAGAGGAUGACCGGUCACACUGGAACUGAGACACGGUCCAGACUCCUACGGGAGGCAGCAGUAGGGAAUAUUGCGCAAUGGGCGCAAGCCUGAUGGAGCAAUGCCGCGUGUAUGAAGAAGGCCUUCGGGUUGUAAAAUACUUUCAGCAGAGAGGCGUUAUCCAAAGAAGAAGCCCCGGCUAACUCCGUGCCAGCAGCCGCGGUAAUAC